AUCCCCAGUCACUACCCCUUCUAAGCCUCAAUCACCGGCGCCGGUUGCUUCUCCCACCUCAUCUCCACCAGCUUCCUCCCACAAUGCUGCAACCGCAACCCCCGCAUCAACUCCCACGGCUUCGCCUCCGUCCAAAACUGCCGCUCCAGCUCCAGCGACCAACCCCCCGGCCUCCACACCUCCGUCUGCCACACCUCCGGCUGCUACACCUCCAGCGGUCACACCUCCAGCAGCCACACCUCCGUCUGCCACACCUCCAGCAGCUACACCUCCGGCUGCCACACCUCCAGCAGCUACACCUCCGGCUGCCACACCUCCAGCAGCCACACCUCCAGCAGCCACACCUCCUGCAGUCACACCUCCAGCGGCCACACCUCCGACUGCCACAACUCCAACAGCCACACCUCCUGCGGCCACACCUCCUGCUUUGACCCCAGUGAGCACACCGCCGGCGCAAGUUCCGGUGAGCUCUCCCCCUGCACUGGCACCGACAGUUCCGGCACCCGUGGUAGCACCGACUGCUGAGGCUCCCGCUCCGGCCCCGAAGAAGAAGACGACCAAGAAGAGUAAGAAGCACACUGCACCAGCACCGUCGCCAACAUUGCUCGGAC
rnacentral:lncRNA from 1 species